rnacentral:rRNA from 1 species
AUUGAACGCUGGCGGCAUGCUUUACACAUGCAAGUCGAACGGCGGCGCGGGCUUCGGCCUGGCGGCGAGUGGCGAACGGGUGAGUAAUACAUCGGAACGUGCCCAGUAGUGGGGGAUAGCUCGGCGAAAGCCGGAUUAAUACCGCAUACGGCCUGAGGGUGAAAGCGGGGGAUCUUCGGACCUCGCGCUAUUGGAGCGGCCGAUGGCAGAUUAGCUAGUUGGUGGGGUAAAGGCCUACCAAGGCGACGAUCUGUAGCUGGUCUGAGAGGACGACCAGCCACACUGGGACUGAGACACGGCCCAGACUCCUACGGGAGGCAGCAGUGGGGAAUUUUGGACAAUGGGCGAAAGCCUGAUCCAGCAAUGCCGCGUGUGUGAUGAAGGCCUUCGGGUUGUAAAGCACUUUUGGCGGGAACGAAAAGGACUGUGCCAAUACCACGGUUCGAUGACGGUACCCGCAGAAUAAGCACCGGCUAACUACGUG